GAGUUUCAACUGGAGGCGGGAGAGGAGAGUCAGCGAGAACGAAGAUGGACAGACUGCGGAAACAUAAAUGAAGAUGGAGUCUCAAACUAUCACCUGGGCUGGAGUGCGAUGGCAUGAUCUCGGCUCACUGCAACCUCUGCCUCCAGGGUUCAAGCGAUUCUCCUGCCUCAGCCUCCCAAGUAGCUAGGACUACAGCUCCCGCAUACCUCCACCUGCCAUAUUGGCCUGCCAUGGUAGGCCAGGGAGAGAGAAAAAGGAAGAAAAGAGAAGAGAAAAGAAAAAUGUGUUGCCUACUGCCCCUGCCUUUAUUGGGAUGGACAGCUGGAGUAAACAUCAUCCAGAAAGACUGGGACUCUGGGUCCUCUCAAACCCAGCACACCCGCACCACGAAUACCAGCCCCCAGCAAGAAACCUCUAAGCACUUUGUGAGUAUUCAUCGCCUAAACAUAUUUCAUUUCCAGUCUUGCCCAACUGAUCUCAGCCUUAACUGUUUAACUGGGCUGGUCUCUGAGCAGACUCUGUAGCUGCCCUGAAAUCAGGUUACUGGCACAGCCUGUAGAUAUUGACUGAUUCAAAGAUUACAGUUGAGCAAACAGGAGCAUGUUAAUUUUUAAUUUCACUUUGUUGAUAAAUCGGGCUUCCUCUUUGUCCUAUAACCGAUAAUUACCUGGUCAGAAGAAACAUGCGAUACUUGACCUGCAAUGAAAGUCCACUUGUCUGGCCUUCCUGGCCCUAGCUGGGUUUUUCAAAGGAGCUCCCAUACUGGUUUGGCCUCAGUCAGCUGUUAAAGAAUUGAGGGACUUCUGAGUUGCGCAACCCUGAGUCAAUGUGAGACCCAAGCUGAACAGCAUGGGACUCUUAAGAAUUAAAGUGGAGACCUAAGGAAGAUCUUUGAGGUUUGGGAUUUGGGGUAGGAAUGGGGUUUUUUUCUAACAAAGGAGAGACUGUGACAGAGAAAGUGUUUCUUUCAUGGCUUCCAGUUCACACUAAGUCACCCUCAUUCUGGAGCCAAGGUUGUUCUCAAAGGUGACUUUACCACAGUAAAACAUGAGGACAGAAAACAGCAGCCGUGUGUCCGCCUCAUCACACAAGAGCCGUACUGUUUGCUAAGUCUCUUAGUUCACACAACCGUGGUGCCAUCCUGGGAAAUAAUUACCAGUACUCCCAUUGUAUGGAGAAAGAAUUAAUUUGCAGUUUAUAUCUCUAAAGGGUCCAAUUACUUCAUAUAGAGAUCUGUCGCAUUGUUUUUCUCUUCCUUUUUUUUUUUUUUCCCCCUGUUGCUUUUAGGGGCCAAAGCGGUUUCAGUUUGAAACCAUGAUGAAUUUAACAUAAAUCAAGAAAAGCAACAGAAGCAACUUUUCCCAUCUGGAAUGGAGUACAGCCUUCUAUUUUAUGCUAUUUGUCUACCCUGUCACUAACUGCAGAGAAAACGUUCUAAAAACUGCCCUUUGUAGCCUCAAGCCAUUUCCCUAGGGCUGUUUGACUUAAAAAAAAAAAAAAAAAAAAAAAAGAGCCAGAGAAAUAAAAAAUGUGGGCAGAGCCUGAGUGGUUUUAAGUCAAAGACCUACUGAGCAGGGAUUCAUUUAGUGGGUUAUUUUAAAUAAUUCAAUCCAGAAAAAAUUGGUUGAAUAUAUACAUAUAUGCCUCACCAAUUUCAUUCACAGAUGUUGGCAAGUGACUGAAAACAGGAAGGGAAACUUUGUUCAAUGCUCGGAGAUGAAUGUACCAAAUUAUACAAUCCCUGCAGAAUUUGAGAACUGGAAGGGGACUAAGAAAUCAGUUAGUCUAGUAAGUUAGGGCUUGCAAUCUUUUUCUGGGGAGGUACUUCUGAGUUCCCUUACAUUUUAUGAUCAUCAGAGACACGAUUCUUCAUACAGCUAGAGAGGGGAAGGUGGGAUUUUAUUGAGCAUGUAAUGUUAUCAUCCGCCUACUUUGAGGAUUCCCAAGUCUUCCCAUUGCCUAUGGGAGUAUUUCUGUGGGACAUCAGUACCGUGGAUUGUUCACCACAAAGGUUUCCAGGGUCACACCUGUUUAGGAAAUGCUGUGUGUUAUAUCCAACUUUGGAUAUUUGCAAAGUACACCUGCAUAAUAAAUGCUGUUGCACUGAGUGAGAA